rnacentral:rRNA from 1 species
UACGGGGGGAGCAAGCGUUGUUCGGAUUUACUGGGCGUAAAGGGCGCGUAGGCGGCCACUGCAAGUCGGUUGUGAAAUCUCCGGGCUUAACCCGGAAAGGUCAAUCGAUACUGCAGGGCUAGAGUGCAGAAGGGGCAACUGGAAUUCUCGGUGUAGCGGUGAAAUGCGUAGAUAUCGAGAGGAACACCGGUGGCGAAGGCGGCCUUCUGGACAGUGACUGACGCUGAGGUACGAAAGCGUGGGUAGCAAACAGG